ensembl:lncRNA
CCCGCUAAAAAUGCUUGCGUCAGACUGGCUGGUGUAACGUACCUUGGCCUGCAGGAUGGAGCUGGCUAGGAUGUCUACAGCUAACUUAAUAAAGGAGUUAAUACAAUUUGUUAUCGAAGUCACUGAAGAGGAGAGGAAAAAAUUUGAUGACAAUGACGUGGAUGGAGAGACUGUUGACAUCGGAAUGACUGAGUCUAUGAUUUCAUUCCUCUUUGAGGGAUCAUUUAAAAAAACAAGCAAAAUUCCAUGGAUUUGUUCAGCAGAUGAAGGAGAUAGUGACAUUAACUCUUGAACCUGUGCCUGAAAGCCAGUCAAGAGCUGGAGCAAGUAAUAUCAGCCCGUCAACAGCUUUCCCUGAAUUUUUUGAAGUUCUGAAGUUCCCAUUUGAAGUUCAGGCCAAGUUGGACCGAAAAGAAUGCAGACUAACGUCAUCAGACCGAAACAAAAUUAUUAGAACGUUGUAUGAAAGCGUGGCUCAGUACAAAAUGUAAGUAUUUCUCAUUACCUGUACCUGUUUUAAUCGCUUUCAUUCAAUUUUAUACAACAUUUAAUGCUACACUCAUGUGUUUUAAAUAUUUUUGUAGGUAUCUAACUACAGAAGAGUAUGUUCAAGUGGCUAAGGCCCUGACUCUGAGGUAUCCCUUUUUAAAAGACAAAGAGGGCAAUGGAUAUGGAAUUUAUUUUGUGAAACUACUUUUUUUUUUUUUUUUUUUUUUGAAUAGCACACUUGGCACGUCUCUGAAACGCAAGUUUAAAUUUGAGCGGACACCUUUGGCUGAUGUUGAAGAAGUGAAAAGACUUUGGUCAUUCAAAAAAAGUCUGCAACCUGAAGAAAGCAGUUGCAAAGAAAUUACAAGGCCUUUGGAGAAUAAUGCUGUUGGAGAGGAUGCUACAUCAAUAGAGGGACAUGUGAAAGUCCUGCAGGACCAAUAUAGAAGGACACAGUCAGAGACUCACAUUGUUGAAUAUCGAAUGAGGAGGAACUUUGCCUGGAGGCGGCAGGAGAUUACUAGUGGUAUGACUGUUGAAGAUGUCAACAAAUAUCCAUCAGGGCCUUAUCAAGAAAUUGGUUUCCUGUAUAAAUGUGUUCAACUGAGCCGCCACUUUCGAGAACAUUUUGGACACAUUACAUCCAGCGUGCUACGGCUUGCUCAAGGGAAAUCCCCUUUAGCAAAGCUGCACAAAGAAGCUAGAGAAGAAUCUCUCAUUGAAGACCAUCUUGUGACUCCUAAACUUUAUUUAGCACUUUAUUAAGCCUAUCAAAUUCUUGCCUUUGAUAGAGUUUUACAUAUUUGUUUGUGUAUCACAUUUUAUGUUCCAGGAAUUGAUUUUAAAGCAGCACUUCUCGUGUUGCCAGCCUUGUUCAGAGAGAAACUUGAACAUUUCAUUGUGCUUGGAGAGGUGCGUAUAUAGUACUCUGUUUUAAAUUUCUGUGCAAUUCUUAAACUGUUUUUUGGCCAAAUGCAAAUGGGUGAAUAUUAAUUAUCUUAGUCUUUAUGCAUGUCAAUUUUCUCUCCAUCAGUUUAGUCAACUGCUGAGAAAAUUUUACUGAUACAGAAUCUGUUUUUUGCUUUGUCAUUUAGAGUGAACCAUCUUCACCAUAUCAUACUGUUCAAGUAGAGGAGACCACUGACUGGAAAACUGUGUUUACAAGAAGAGUCACUGCAGUCAUCAGAGUUGAUGGGAUCGAGAUAGACGAACGGUGUGGAUGAAGGGGCUCUUGCAGCAUUUUGUGCUUAUUUCGUCUUCAAUUUGACAUAUCCAUCCCAUUUGAAGAACACCCUGGUGUUUCUUCAGUGGUAUGUUUUGAGAGUUACUGUGGAUGGUGACAAGCCUCUACCUACCCCAGUUACCAGAAUAAUCAACCUUCUUAACUCAACAUUCUUAACAUAGACACAGACUGGUUAUUGUGUGGCAAGCUUUUAAUUCCUGGGGUUUUUUUGUCGUCAUUUUUACUCAUACUGUGUGAAAUGAGAAUGAAUGGACUGUCCUCUUGCCAGGUGAAGAGGUUGAUUACCAGGCAUUAGAUACCUACAAUGUUGAUGACAAGUUAUUUAUUAGCACUAGAUAUUCUUGCUGAAGACAAACUGCUGCAAACUUCAAAAUGUGCAGUACUUGAUGUAGCCUGUGUAAUAAGGCUGCUUUACUUGUUUGAGUUUUUCAUUGAAGAGCUAGUUUUUUCUUGACACGCUGUUGUGAGAUGUAAUGAAAUCUUUUUAAAAGAACAUUUCUAAAUAAAAUUGUGUAUUUGUCAGCCA